rnacentral:tmRNA from 1 species
CCUCUUCCCAUCGGCGCCCCGGCUGCCUAUAUCUGCAGUGUUCUCGCAAGGGAACUAUGGGCAUAAACGCGCAUGGAAUAAGCGGAUCGGACCCGGGGGCGGUACCCGGCGACUCCACAAUAGAUACACUGUUUAAAAAGGAACAU